UGGGGAAUAUUGGACAAUGGGGGGAACCCUGAUCCAGCGAUGCCGCGUGUGUGAAGAAGGCCUGAGGGUUGUAAAGCACUUUUGUUGGGGAGGAGGGUUGAUUGGUUAAGAGCUGAUUGACUGGACGUUACCCAAAGAAUAAGCACCGGCAAACUCCGUGCCAGCAGCCGCGGUAAUACGGAGGGUGCGAGCGUUAAUCGGAAUUACUGGGCGUAAAGGGUGCGUAGGUGGUUAAUUAAGUUAGUUGUGAAAGCCCUGGGCUCAACCCGGGAAUGGCGACUAAGACUGAUUGACUUGAGUAUAGGAGAGGGUAGUGGAAUUUCCGGUGUAGCGGUGAAAUGCGUAGAGAUCGGAAGGAACACCAGUGGCGAAGGCGGCUAUCUGGCCUAAUACUGACGCUGAGGCACGAAAGCGUGGGGAGCAAACAGG
rnacentral:rRNA from 1 species